UACGUAGGGUGCAGGCGUUAAUCGGAAUUACUGGGCGUAAAGCGUGCGCAGGCGGUCUUUUAAGUCAGAUGUGAAAUCCCCGGGCUUAACCUGGGAACUGCGUUUGAAACUGAAAGGCUUGAGUGUGGCAGAGGGGGGCGGAAUUCCAGGUGUAGCAGUGAAAUGCGUAGAUAUCUGGAGGAACACCGAUGGCGAAGGCAAUCCCCUGGGCCUGCACUGACGCUCAUGCACGAAAGCGUGGGGAGCAAACAGG
rnacentral:rRNA from 1 species